rnacentral:lncRNA from 1 species
GUCAUCUUUGAGGGUUUGCCAGGAAGUAUCAUGGAAGCGGUCUGCUCUGUGACCCUGAGAUAGGACUGCCUAUGUCUCUCGCUCGGCCAAGGCUUCGGACUGGCAUUUGGAAGAAGCCUCUCUCCAUCCUGAGAGACGCUUUUCCAAACAUAAGAUCGCGGGAAGCCCUUAUCAGGAACUCAUUUGACAUUUUCAGGGAAGGUGCUCAAAGAGGUCCAAGAAGGUGCUUAUGGCUCUAUGCUCCCCCGGCCCGCUUCCCCAGUGUUAAAAUCUGACCUCACCAUAGCGCUAUGAUCGAGAAGAAAAAAGUCCCUCCGGAACAAUGGGAUCUGACUCAACUGCAGACUGGAUGGCAAAUUCAUCCCUGAUUCGCUUGCAGUUUAGCUGUUUUCGCCUUCCAGCACUUCGUCUUCUGGCUUCCACUCUUUAUACCGGGAAGGAGCUCCCUGGGGAGUCGGGGUAAUUGUAGGGGUCUUCGGAGCCAGGGGAUCUCCUCGGAAGGUGCUCUCUCUUUCUCUAUUUUUUCUUUUCACUCUGUCUUCAAGUUUCCCAUACCUCAGCAGAACUGACUGGGCAGCAGAGGAAGCGGGAACGGUCCGUCCAUCUCCUGGCCUCACGAGACUUGGCUCCCCG